CAGCCGCCGCGGUAAUACGAAGGGUGCAAGCGUUACUCGGAAUUACUGGGCGUAAAGCGUGCGUAGGUGGUGGUUUAAGUCCGUUGUGAAAGCCCUGGGCUCAACCUGGGAAUUGCAGUGGAUACUGGAUCACUAGAGUGUGGUAGAGGAUAGUGGAAUUUCCGGUGUAGCAGUGAAAUGCGUAGAGAUCGGAAGGAACAUCUGUGGCGAAGGCGACUAUCUGGGCCAACACUGACACUGAGGCACGAAAGCGUGGGGAGCAAACAGGAUUAGAUACCCGGGUAGUCCCUGUCUCUUAUAC
rnacentral:rRNA from 1 species